rnacentral:rRNA from 1 species
GCGUUAUCCGGAUUCACUGGGUUUAAAGGGUGCGUAGGUGGGUUGGUAAGUCAGUGGUGAAAUCUCCGUGCUUAACAUGGAAACUGCCAUUGAUACUACUGGUCUUGAAUUUUCCGGAGGUAAGCGGAAUAUGUCAUGUAGCGAUGAAAUGCUUAGAUAUGACAUAGAACACCAAUGGCGAAGGCAGCUUACUGCAGGGAUAUUGACACUGAGGCACGAAAGCGUG